AUCUUGGGGGUGCCUUUAAAAAAUCGGGCUGAGAUCAUACCCAUUUACCUGAUCCGGAUAAUGCCGGCGUAGGGAAGAAGAAAUAAU
rnacentral:ncRNA from 1 species